AUAGUACUUCCUCCGUCCCAAAAUUCUUGUCUUAGAUUUGUCUAAAUAUGAAUGUAUCUAUUCAUGUUAUAGUAUUUAGAUACAUCUAUUUCUAGACAAACCUAAGACAAGAAUUUUGGAACGGAGGGAGUAGAUA
rnacentral:pre_miRNA from 1 species